rnacentral:rRNA from 1 species
GAUGAACGCUGGCGGCGUGCCUAAUACAUGCAAGUCGAGCGAAUUGACAGAGGUGCUUGCACCUCUCGAUUUUAGCGGCGGACGGGUGAGUAACACGUGGGUAACCUACCUAUAAGACUGGGAUAACUUCGGGAAACCGGAGCUAAUACCGGAUAAUAUUUAGCUUCGCAUGAAGCAAUAGUGAAAGACGGUUCUGCUGUCACUUAUAGAUGGACCUGCGGUGUAUUAGCUAGUUGGUGAGGUAACAGCUCACCAAGGCAACGAUACAUAGCCGACCUGAGAGGGUGAUCGGCCACACUGGGACUGGGACACGGCCCAGACUCCUACGGGAGGCAGCAGUAGGGAAUCUUCCGCAAUGGACGAAAGUCUGACGGAGCAACGCCGCGUGAGUGAAGAAGGUUUUCGGAUCGUAAAACUCUGUUGUAAGGGAAGAACAAGUACGUUAGUGACUGAACGUACCUUGACGGUACCUUACCAGAAAGCCACGGCUAACUACGUGCCAGCCGCCGCAGUAA